rnacentral:rRNA from 1 species
AACGAACGCUGGCGGCAUGCCUAACACAUGCAAGUCGAACGAGACCUUCGGGUCUAGUGGCGCACGGGUGCGUAACACGUGGGAAUCUGCCCUUUGCUUCGGAAUAACAGUUAGAAAUGACUGCUAAUACCGGAUGAUGUCGAAAGACCAAAGAUUUAUCGGCAAAGGAUGAGCCCGCGUAGGAUUAGGUAGUUGGUGGGGUAAAGGCCUACCAAGCCGACGAUCCUUAGCUGGUCUGAGAGGAUGAUCAGCCAUACUGGGACUGAGACACGGCCCAGACUCCUACGGGAGGCAGCAGUGGGGAAUAUUGGACAAUGGGCGAAAGCCUGAUCCAGCAAUGCCGCGUGAGUGAUGAAGGCCUUAGGGUUGUAAAGCUCUUUUACCAGGGAUGAUAAUGACAGUACCUGGAGAAUAAGCGCCGGCUAACUCCGUG